UAAAUAUACUUUGAAAGUUGAGGAAAAACAUACAAUUUUAAAUAUCCUCCUUAAUUAGCAUGUAGCUUAUUAUGCCAAUUGCCAGACUCAGCUCAGGGAUUUGUCUGCUGUAUAAUUUUUAUCACAGGGACAAAUUUGCCGAUAGUAGUAGCUACAGCAUCUCAAUCUUCUGUAGCCUGAAAGGAAUUGGUAGCAACAGUAUGUCAUAGUAGAAUACUAGGGGUGUGUACUUUACUUACCUGUCCUCUGUUACAGAUUGAAUUGUUUUCCCAGAAAAGAUAAUCUUAAAGUCCUAACCCCUGGUACCUAUGAAUGUGACCUUAGUUAGAAAUGGAGUCUUGGCAGAUGUAGUCAAGUUAAUAUGAGAUUAUUAAGGUGGAGACUAAUCUGGUGUCCACAUAAGAAGAGUUGAAGAUACACAGACACAGAAACUCAGACAAUACCAUGUGAUGAAGGAGGUAGAAACUGAGUGAUGCAGCU
rnacentral:lncRNA from 10 species